CAACCUGAACUCAGUACGUGAUUACCCGCUGAACUUAAGCAUAUCAUUUAGCGGAGGAAAAGAAACUAAAAAGGAUUCCCCUAGUAACGGCGAGUGAAACGGGAAGAGCCCAGCGCCGAAUCGAUCAGUCUUUGGCUGCUUCGAAAUGUGGCGUAUAGGUGUAGUCUUCCAGCAGUGUCGUAUGUCCGAAGUCCUUGCGAUUGAGGCCAUAAACCAGAGAGGGUGCGAGCCCCGUUCUGGAUAGCGGCGCUGUUGGUUCGACUGCUCCUUGGAGUCGGGUUGCUUGAAAGUGCAGCCUAAAGUGGGUGAUAAACUUCAUCUAAGGCUAAAUAUUGACUCGAUUGCGAUAGCG
rnacentral:ncRNA from 1 species